rnacentral:misc_RNA from 1 species
CUGAUUCAAUCUUCACUUGAGAAGGUAAAGUUCUCUCAUGCUUAUAUCUCAAUUAUUUCUUAAUUACAUUGCCUUUCAUUAAUUAUGAACAAUAACGGAGGGGAGAACUGGGGUUGCAUUGGCAGUUUCAAACCUGAGAAUCUUUCUGUAACCACUUCAAUUUGUUAUCAACUAUAAACUUAACAUGGGAUAGAGACUUCACAUUUCAGUCACAAGAAAUGUUCAUCUUUCCUCCCUCUUUCUGUGUUUUUUCCUUGCUUUUUAUUUUUAAUUUUUGAUUAAUGAUAUAAUUAUUGACUACUGAUUAAUUUCCUUUUGCAGAAAAG